CGUCGAUUCAACGCACAACUAUAAAAAGGCCUUUAGGCUCUGCACUCGACUCACAGUCAGAUCGGUAGUGACAGGAACGUAAUAAAAUGACAGAGAAAAGAAAAACAGACAUAAGAUCCUUUUUCAGUAGGACUACACCAAAACGCCAAGCAAAGGAGACAGAAAGAACAGGGACAGAAGGACAGGGAG